rnacentral:tRNA from 1 species
GGGCCCAUAGCUCAGCCUGGUAGAGCACUCGGCUCUUAACCGAGUUGUCGAGGGUUCGAUCCGAAAUCGAAAAUUUCGUAUUUUCGGAAUUAAGGAAAUCUGUGAUUUCCGAAAAGGGUUUUUGUAUCUCCAAAAUAUGCGAAACGAGGUUUCGCCAAAAAUCAGGGAGAAAAUCCCUCUGGGCCCGCCA